ensembl:snRNA U6 U6 spliceosomal RNA
ACAUAUACUAAAAUGAUACAGAGAAGAUUAGAAUGAUACAGAGAAGAUUAGCAUGGCCCCUGCACAAGGAUGACAUGCAAAUUCGUGAAGUGUUCCAUAUUUUU